rnacentral:tRNA from 1 species
UUUUAUAAAACUUAUUAAAGUGCUAGAUUGUAAAUCUUGAAAUGAUUCAAUUUUUUUUGUAUCUAUAAAAA